UCUACCCUAGGGUGGGGAAUAACUCCUCGAAAGGGGAGCUAAUGCCGACAUGUGCAUCACUUUCGCAAGGAAGUGCUGGAAAGCCGUACCGUGGGUGCGGCGCCCAAGGAUGAGCUCACGUCCUAUCAGCUUGUUGGCGGGUAACGGCCCACCAAGGCUGCGACGGGUAGCUGGUCUGAGAGGACGACCAGCCACACUGGCACUGCGACACGGGCCAG
rnacentral:rRNA from 1 species